rnacentral:rRNA from 1 species
AACGAAAUAAGCACUGUCUCAAUAAAUAUACAUAUAAACUAUUAUUUAAGUGAAGAAACUUAAAUCAAAUUAAAGGACAAGAAGACCCUAUAGAGCUUUAUUUUACCAUCAUAAAAUAUGAUAAAAAAUUCGGUUGGGGCGACCGUGGGAGUAAUCACCCACAAUCUAAUUAGAUAUAUUUAUCUCUCAAAAGAUCCUUUUCAAAGAUCAAUAGAACAAGCUACCUUAGGGAUAACAGGCUAAUCCUAUUAUAGAGCCCUUAUCAACAAUAGGGA